UACGUAGGGGGCAAGCGUUGUCCGGAUUUAUUGGGCGUAAAGAGCGUGUAGGCGGCCAUGUAGGUCCGUUGUGAAAACUCGAGGCUCAACCUCGAGACGCCGAUGGAAACCAUGUGGCUAGAGUCCGGAAGAGGAGAGUGGAAUUCCUGGUGUAGCGGUGAAAUGCGCAGAUAUCAGGAGGAACACCGGUGGCGAAGGCGGAUCUCUGGGCCUUACCUGACGCUCAGGUGCGAAAGCUAGGGGAGCGAACAGG
rnacentral:rRNA from 1 species